rnacentral:rRNA from 1 species
AUUGGAGUCUGCAACUCGACUCCAUGAAGUCGGAAUCGCUAGUAAUCGCAGGUCAGAAUACUGCGGUGAAUACGUUCCCGGGCCUUGUACACACCGCCCGUCACACCAUGGGAGUGGGAUGCAAAAGAAGUAGUUAGUUUAACCUUCGGGAGAACGAUUACCACUUUGUGUUUCAUGACUGGGGUGAAGUCGUAACAAGGUAACCCUAGGGGAACCUGGGGU